rnacentral:rRNA from 1 species
CCUACGGGUGGCAGCAGUGGGGAAUAUUGGACAAUGAGCGAAAGCCUGAUCCAGCCAUGCCGCGUGUGUGAAGAAGGCCUUCGGGUUGUAAAGCACUUUCAGUGGGGAAGAAAGCCUUGGGGCUAAUACCCUCGAGGAAGGACAUCACCCACAGAAGAAGCACCGGCUAACUCCGUGCCAGCAGCCGCGGUAAUACGGAGGGUGCGAGCGUUAAUCGGAAUUACUGGGCGUAAAGCGCGCGUAGGCGGUCUGAUAAGCCGGUUGUGAAAGCCCCGGGCUCAACCUGGGAACGGCAUCCGGAACUGUCAGGCUAGAGUGCAGGAGAGGAAGGUAGAAUUCCCGGUGUAGCGGUGAAAUGCGUAGAGAUCGGGAGGAAUACCAGUGGCGAAGGCGGCCUUCUGGACUGACACUGACGCUGAGGUGCGAAAGCGUGGGUAGCAAACAGGAUUAGAUACCCUGGUAGUC